GGAUGGGGGUCCAGGCAGCCCCAACCCACCCUCCCGCUUUGGAUCCCCGGGGAUCACCGGACGGACGUUUUCCCGCUCCCCGCCCCGGCCCGGGGAACUGCUUUGGGCGCUCCAGGGCCGGCGAUCCGCGGAAGGCGUCCGGCCUAUCACCCUCGACUCCGACUUUGCAGCUCCCCGCCUGCGCCGUGCUCAUUGCCGGCGCUCCUGAGACGGUUUCCCGAAACUGCCCCCCGAAGGCUCCCCGCCGCGGCCCCGGGGUCCCCCGCAGGAUUCCAGGAGGCGCCGCCGCCGCCGCCACCCGGCGGGCGCAGUGACCCGCUCCCAGGCCCCGGGGCCUCUGCCCCUCCUCCCGGGGAUCCCCUUUCGCCAACAGCCUCCCGGGCCCCGCAGGACACUCCCCUCCGGAGGCCGGGCCUCGUCGGCCCGCCACCGCCCCCGCCUAGCCCCCGGCCGCCCCGCCCGCGCGCCGCGCCGGGAGAGCCCCGGGCCCCGACCCCUCCCCCCGGACGCCCGGCCGGAGAGCGGGACCCGGGCGGCGAGGGUGACUGGGCUGCGGCGCGGGGCCGGGUCCUGGGCAGGGAGGCUCGGCGGCCUCUUUCUUUCUCCGCCCCCGCCCCUUUCUCUCCUUCCUCCUCGCUAGCCCCGCCGGCGGCGGCGGAGUUCGGCACUCUCGCCUCGCCUCCUCCCCCACCCGGGGACCCUCUCCUCUCCCCUCCCCUCCCUCGCCCGCUCCUCCCGCCGCCUCCUCCCUCCCGGAGCGGCUGGCUGCGAGGAGGCGUAACGGAAAGCCCCGGCGGGGGAAGGCUGCGAGCUCGGGGCCGGAGACACAGAGCCGGGCCGGGUAAACUGGGAAGCAGACUCUUGAAUUCACAGCUGGCUUGUGGUUUUUGCAUCUCGUUAAAGCGCACUCAUCAUACAGGUGGCAUUUUUCUGAAGUUGAUCAUUGAGACUUACCAGCAUUCCUACAGAUAUAAUAGGUGAGGCCGCGCUCGGAGCUCUGACAUGGCAGCAUGACGGCCCCGGCCCGCGCUGCCACAGGCCGGCCAGAGGGAGCCCCAGGCUGUGGGAGUGAGCGCCCGGAGCAGCGACUUCCUUCUGCGGCCGCCUGAGCCUCCUUCCCCCCCGGCCUGCUUUUAUUAUUCACCCCGUGGACUCCUGACUUUUCCGCCUGGAACAUCAAUAUGUGUCAUGUUAUUGUCACCUGUCGCUCGAUGCUCUGGACCCUCCUGAGUAUUGUGGUGGCUUUUGCAGAGCUCAUCGCCUUCAUGAGCGCCGACUGGCUGAUUGGAAAAGCCAAGAGUCGCAGCGGCGCCGCGCCCGACGACCAGAGCGGAGGCUCGUCGGAGCCCUACCACCCGACCUUGGGCAUCUAUGCCCGCUGCAUCCGCAACCCGGGCGUGCAGCACGUGCAGCGGGAGACGCUGUGCGGGCCCUACGCAGAGAACUUCGGCGAGAUCGCCAGUGGCUUCUGGCAGGCCACGGCUAUUUUCUUGGCCGUGGGCAUCUUCAUUCUCUGCACGGUGGCCUUGGUGUCCGUCUUCACCAUGUGUGUGCAGAGCAUCAUGAAGAAAAGUAUUUUCAACGUCUGCGGGCUGCUGCAAGGAAUCGCAGGACUGUUCCUUAUUCUGGGUUUGAUACUCUACCCUGCUGGCUGGGGCUGCCAGAAGGCCAUAGGCUACUGUGGACACUAUGCAUCGGCCUACAAACCCGGAGACUGCUCCUUGGGCUGGGCCUUUUAUACCGCCAUCGGAGGCACAGUCCUCACCUUCAUCUGUGCUGUCUUCUCCGCACAAGCAGAAAUUGCAACCUCCAGUGACAAAGUACAGGAAGAAAUUGAAGAGGGGAAAAGCCUGAUAUGCCUCCUUUAGUUUGGAAGAGACACAAAUGCCACUUUCUGCCCAUGUAACCUUGUGAAACAGCACCCCUCUGGUUUCAUCAUCUGAGUCAAGUGAAGAACUAGCCUUUAUCUACCAAAGCCUACAUUCCACAGCCUUGAGCCUUAACAGGACCAAUGAGAGGCAACAGUCAGCUAAGUGAUGGCACUCGAGGACCACAGUGCAAAAUGCCAGAGAUGGAAUAUAAAAGUACUGCAUGAAGCCUGACACAAGUUGACAAGUCUGUCUGACUCCAUCUUCCCCAAGGCUCAACAAAGGAUAAUGAUCUAAACCAUUAAGGCCACAGUUCUUCUGGUAACAGAGGAGAUUGUGAGCUAGAUUUUCAGGCUAUUUUGAGAUGUGUUUCUGCCACAAGCCUGCAUGCCUGUGAGCAUCUCUGCCUCAGAAUGAGGUUUGGGGGUUGGUGUUUUUGUCUCCUCCUAGUUCUUCCAAGUUUUCUCAGAGACUAAAAAUGAAGACUGCAUACUUACUGGGGAUAGGGAUGUGUGCUCAAGGGCAUACAAGACACUGCCUCUUAAUUAGCUGACCGAGGGGUGAGCAG
rnacentral:lncRNA from 1 species